rnacentral:rRNA from 1 species
GACGAACGCUGGCGGCGUGCCUAAUACAUGCAAGUUGAGCGCUGAAGGUUGGUACUUGUACCAACUGGAUGAGCAGCGAACGGGUGAGUAACGCGUGGGGAAUCUGCCUUUGAGCGGGGGACAACAUUUGGAAACGAAUGCUAAUACCGCAUAAAAACUUUAAACACAAGUUUUAAGUUUGAAAGAUGCAAUUGCAUCACUCAAAGAUGAUCCCGCGUUGUAUUAGCUAGUUGGUGAGGUAAAGGCUCACCAAGGCGAUGAUACAUAGCCGACCUGAGAGGGCGAUCGGCCACAUUGGGACUGAGACACGGCCCAAACUCCUACGGGAGGCAGCAGUAGGGAAUCUUCGGCAAUGGACGAAAGUCUGACCGAGCAACGCCGCGUGAGUGAAGAAGGGUUUCGGAUCGUAAAACUCUGUUGGUAGAGAAGAACGUUGGUGAGAGUGGAAAGCUCAUCAAGUGACGGUAACUACACAGAAAGGGACGGCUAACUACGUG